GAUGAACGCUGGCGGCGUGCCUAAUACAUGCAAGUCGAGCGAACGGACGAGAAGCUUGCUUCUCUGAUGUUAGCGGCGGACGGGUGAGUAACACGUGGAUAACCUACCUAUAAGACUGGGAUAACUUCGGGAAACCGUAGCUAAUACCGGAUAAUAUUUUGAACCGCAUGGUUCAAAAGUGAAAGACGGUCUUGCUGUCACUUAUAGAUGGAUCCGCGCUGCAUUAGCUAGUUGGUAAGGUAACGGCUUACCAAGGCAACGAUGCAUAGCCGACCUGAGAGGGUGAUUGGCCACACUGGAACUGAGACACGGUCCAGACUCCUACGGGAGGCAGCAGUAGGGAAUCUUCCGCAAUGGGCGAAAGCCUGACGGAGCAACGCCGCGUGAGUGAUGAAGGUCUUCGGAUCGUAAAACUCUGUUAUUAGGGAAGAACAUAUGUGUAAGUAACUGUGCACAUCUUGACGGUACCUAAUCAGAAAGCCACGGCUAACUACGUGCCAGCAGCCGCGGUAAUACGUAGGUGGCAAGCGUUAUCCGGAAUUAUUGGGCGUAAAGCGCGCGUAGGCGGUUUUUUAAGUCUGAUGUGAAAGCCCACGGCUCAACCGUGGAGGGUCAUUGGAAACUGGAAAACUUGAGUGCAGAAGAGGAAAGUGGAAUUCCAUGUGUAGCGGUGAAAUGCGCAGAGAUAUGGAGGAACACCAGUGGCGAAGGCGACUUUCUGGUCUGUAACUGACGCUGAUGUGCGAAAGCGUGGGGAUCAAACAGGAUUAGAUACCCUGGUAGUCCACGCCGUAAACGAUGAGUGCUAAGUGUUAGGGGGUUUCCGCCCCUUAGUGCUGCAGCUAACGCAUUAAGCACUCCGCCUGGGGAGUACGACCGCAAGGUUGAAACUCAAAGGAAUUGACGGGGACCCGCACAAGCGGUGGAGCAUGUGGUUUAAUUCGAAGCAACGCGAAGAACCUUACCAAAUCUUGACAUCCUUUGACAACUCUAGAGAUAGAGCCUUCCCCUUCGGGGGACAAAGUGACAGGUGGUGCAUGGUUGUCGUCAGCUCGUGUCGUGAGAUGUUGGGUUAAGUCCCGCAACGAGCGCAACCCUUAAGCUUAGUUGCCAUCAUUAAGUUGGGCACUCUAAGUUGACUGCCGGUGACAAACCGGAGGAAGGUGGGGAUGACGUCAAAUCAUCAUGCCCCUUAUGAUUUGGGCUACACACGUGCUACAAUGGACAAUACAAAGGGCAGCGAAACCGCGAGGUCAAGCAAAUCCCAUAAAGUUGUUCUCAGUUCGGAUUGUAGUCUGCAACUCGACUACAUGAAGCUGGAAUCGCUAGUAAUCGUAGAUCAGCAUGCUACGGUGAAUACGUUCCCGGGUCU
rnacentral:rRNA from 1 species